rnacentral:rRNA from 1 species
GCAGUCGCCACGGUAAUACGUAGGUGGCAAGCGUUGUCCGGAAUUACUGGGCGUAAAGCGCGCGCAGGUGGUUUAAUAAGUCUGAUGUGAAAGCCCACGGCUCAACCGUGGAGGGUCAUUGGAAACUGUUAAACUUGAGUGCAGGAGAGAAAAGUGGAAUUCCUAGUGUAGCGGAGAAAUGCGUAGAGAUUAGGAGGAACACCAGUGGCGAAGGCGGCUUUUUGGCCUGUAACUGACACUGAGGCGCGAAAGCGUGGGGAGCAAACAGGAUUAGAUACCCCAGUAGUCCCUGUCUCUUAUAC